rnacentral:snRNA from 1 species
AGCUUUGCACAGUUGCAGUAUCGUAGCCAAUGAGGUUUAUCCAAGGUGUGAUUAUUGCUAAUUUAGAAAUAAUAAUAAUAA